GGCACAGUAUGAGUACAGCACAAUUACUCAAGUCUGACAUUAUUUCAACAGCAAUGCAAAUUCAUUUGUUUAGGAAGCUUGUAUAUUUGGGAAGUAUUUGUCCUUCUGUAGGCAAUACAUGUUAUCUUCUGUAAAAUAGAUUUGCAGACUGUUGCAUCUGACAGCUGCAUUAGUUAUGCACUGAUAAUAAAUUAAGGAUGUAGGGCAUGGAAUUGUUUUAGAGUAGCAUUUUAACUGACUGGGGAUUAUGAAAAAUGCUUGCUGCCCGUGUCUCUGAUAUAAUUUAAUUAAUCAAUUGUAAAUGACCUCCAAAUAUAUACAAGGAAAGAAAAAUAAAAUAAAAUUGCUUAUCCAGCCUUAUUGGGUUGCCCUCUUUUAGAAGGUAUUGUAGAUUUAAAAAGAACAAUACGGAAUAUCUUUAUAAAUACAUAUUUAUAAAUACAAAUACAUUUAUCAGGAGAUAAAUGGCCUACAGUGUACUGAGAAAUAGCUCCUAUUUAAUUCGGCCCAUUUACAUUUACUUUAAUAUUUGAAUCGAGUUACAUUUCAUUACAAAGUAAUACAUGAAGAUUUAAAGUAAUCUUACUGAGACAUUUUUAUUAUCUCUUUUUUUUCAUUCAGGGCCCUCAAGGACCCCGCGGUCGUCCAGGUCCGCCUGGUCCACCAGGAGCACCUGGACCAAGAAAACAAAUAGACAUGAGUGCCACUAUUCAAGCCUUGCUUGAAUCAAAUGCUGCCUUAGAAAUGGAGGUAACAAUAUUUGCAUAUUGAAACUGAUAAAUUAUAUACAUGGGAAUAACAUUUCAAGAAUAAGAUAUGCAUAAUUUUAAAGGCUUUAUUUUAUUACAGAUUUUCAAAUAUAUUAAUUUGUGGUGAAAAGCAUUGAAUGGCAAACUAAAAAAGGAUAUACGAGCCUUUUAGUCCAAAUGCUUAAGACAUCAUACAACUGUUUUAACACCAAAUUAUUUAGAUUGGUGUAAACAAAAAAAAAGAGAGAUGACAUGACCUCAUCUCAUAAGGAAAUGUUACAUCAUUGAGACUUUAAUAUAGAAAAGGAUUAAACAGGGAUUGGAACCAAACAUGAUAUAGCAAAAAUCAUAGAAUUAUAAAAAUGGAAGGAACUACUUAGGUCAAUCCACAUGCUUCUUCCGUGAAGGGAGCCAAAUUAAAUCAACUUUGACAUAUAGUUACCCAGUUCUGCUUGAACAUAUCUAACAAGUGUAAACUUAUCACCAGUCUGAAUAAUUUCCACUGUCAAAUUGUUCUUUGACAAAUUUAGAAGAUUUUUCUAACAUUCAAUCAGAAUUUGUUUUCUGUCACUUCAUGUCAAUUAUUCUGUAGAUUGAACAUCAGGGUAAUAGAAAACAGAUACUAAUCUUACUAAGGGAUGUCCACUAUGUAAUUAAAGAAUGUUAAUUUUUCCAGUUCUUUUCCUCUCAUAAAACCUAAUUUCUAAUCCCUUGAUCAUCUAUGUUACUCUUCUUUAACUCUGUUCCAGUUUGUCUGAUGCCUUCAGGCAUGGUGCCCAAAACUAGUGACAAUAUUGGCAACAGGGGUGGGGGAAGAGGGGUUAUCAUCCAGCCAAUACAAAGUUAAAAUAUUACCAUAUUUCUGGUAAUCUGGGAAAUGAUAGUUAUAUUGAGUUAAAAUUAUAUUUGUCUUUUUUCAGCCAUAGCUUAUGCUGACAAAUAUUCAGCAAAUAAUCAAUUGCUAUAGCAAAAAAAUUUAAAAAACAUAUUAUUACCAAGU